AAGCCCGUGAGGGAUUGUCUGGAGGAAGCCGGAGUGCAAGAGGUGCGAGGCGACGGACAGAAACCGCAUAGAAGGCCGAGGCAGGCGAGGCGAGCUGGCACAUGACAGCGAAGCCCAACGGUACGCCGGCCACGGUAAAUGCGGCGCUUGUGCACCGACAGUUCGCGUU
rfam:Nitrosomonas europaea ATCC 19718, complete genome